rnacentral:rRNA from 1 species
CCCGACACGGGGAGGUAGUGACAAUAAAUAACAAUAUAGGGCUCUUUCGGGUCUUAUAAUUGGAAUGAGUACAAUUUAAAUCCCUUAACGAGGAACAAUUGGAGGGCAAGUCUGGUGCCAGCAGCCGCGGUAAUUCCAGCUCCAAUAGCGUAUAUUAAAGUUGUUGCAGUUAAAAAGCUCGUAGUUGAACUUCAGGCCUGGCUGGGCGGUCCGCCUAACGGUGUGUACUGUCUGGCUGGGUCUUACUUCUUGGUGAGCCGGUGUGCCCUUUAUUGGCGUGCAUCGGGGAACCAGGACUUUUACCUUGAGAAAAUUAGAGUGUUCAAAGCAGGCUAUUGCCUGAAUACAUUAGCAUGGAAUAAUAAAAUAGGACGUGCGGUUCUAUUUUGUUGGUUUCUAGAGUCGCCGUAAUGAUUAAUAGGGAUAGUUGGGGGCAUUGGUAUUGAGUCGCUAGAGGUGAAAUUCUUGGAUUGACUCAAGACCGACUACUGCGAAAGCAUUUGCCAAGGAUGUUUUCAUUAAUCAAGAACGAAGGUUAGGGGAUCGAAAACGAUCAGAUACCGUUGUAGUCUUAACAGUAAACUAUGCCGACUAGGGAUCGGGCAACCUCAAUAUUGAUGUGUUGCUCGGC